GAUGAACGCUGGCGGCGUGCCUAAUACAUGCAAGUCGAGCGAACAGACGAGGAGCUUGCUCCUCUGACGUUAGCGGCGGACGGGUGAGUAACACGUGGAUAACCUACCUAUAAGACUGGCAUAACUUCGGGAAACCGGAGCUAAUACCGGAUAAUAUAUUGAACCGCAUGGUUCAAUAGUGAAAGACGGUUUUGCUGUCACUUAUAGAUGGAUCCGCGCCGCAUUAGCUAGUUGGUAAGGUAACGGCUUACCAAGGCAACGAUGCGUAGCCGACCUGAGAGGGUGAUCUGCCACACUGGAACUGAGACACGGUCCAGACUCCUACGGGAGGCAGCAGUAGGGAAUCUUCCGCAAUGAGCGAAAGCCUGACGGAGCAACGCCGCGUGAGUGAUGAAGGUCUUCGGAUCGUAAAACUCUGUUAUUAGGGAAGAACAAAUGUGUAAGUAACUAUGCACGUCUUGACGGUACCUAAUCAGAAAGCCACGGCUAACUACGUG
rnacentral:rRNA from 1 species